rnacentral:rRNA from 1 species
AUUGAACGCUGGCGGCAGGCCUAACACAUGCAAGUCGAGCGGAUGACGGGAGCUUGCUCCUUGAUUCAGCGGCGGACGGGUGAGUAAUGCCUAGGAAUCUGCCUGGUAGUGGGGGACAACGUUUCGAAAGGAACGCUAAUACCGCAUACGUCCUACGGGAGAAAGCAGGGGACCUUCGGGCCUUGCGCUAUCAGAUGAGCCUAGGUCGGAUUAGCUAGUUGGUGAGGUAACGGCUCACCAAGGCGACGAUCCGUAACUGGUCUGAGAGGAUGAUCAGUCACACUGGAACUGAGACACGGUCCAGACUCCUACGGGAGGCAGCAGUGGGGAAUAUUGGACAAUGGGCGAAAGCCUGAUCCAGCCAUGCCGCGUGUGUGAAGAAGGUCUUCGGAUUGUAAAGCACUUUAAGUUGGGAGGAAGGGCAGUAAGUUAAUACCUUGCUGUUUUGACGUUACCGACAGAAUAAGCACCGGCUAACUCUGUGCCAGCCGCCGCAGUAACAC